rnacentral:rRNA from 1 species
AUUGAACGCUGGCGGAAUGCUUUACACAUGCAAGUCGAACGAUGAACCUUAGCUUGCUCAGGGGAUUAGUGGCGAACGGGUGAGUAAUAUAUCGGAACGUGCCUUGUAAUGGGGGAUAACUAGUCGAAAGAUUAGCUAAUACCGCAUACGCCCUGAGGGGGAAAGUAGGGGAUCUUCGGACCUUACGUUAUAAGAGCGGCCGAUAUCUGAUUAGCUAGUUGGUGGGUAAUGGCCUACCAAGGCGACGAUCAGUAGCUGGUCUGAGAGGACGACCAGCCACACUGGAACUGAGACACGGUCCAGACUCCUACGGGAGGCAGCAGUGGGGAAUUUUGGACAAUGGGCGCAAGCCUGAUCCAGCCAUUCCGCGUGAGUGAAGAAGGCCUUCGGGUUGUAAAGCUCUUUCGCAAGGGAAGAAAACUUACCAUCGAAUAAAUGGUGAGGCUGACGGUACCUUGAUAAGAAGCACCGGCUAACUACGUG